UACGAAGGGGGCUAGCGUUGUUCGGAAUUACUGGGCGUAAAGCGCACGUAGGCGGCUUUUGUAAGUUAGAGGUGAAAGCCCAGGGCUUUAACCCUGGAAUUUGCCUUUAAGACUGCAUCGCUUGAAUCGUGGAGAGGUGAGUGGAAUUCCGAGUGUAGAGGUGAAAUUCGUAGAUAUUCGGAAGAACACCAGUGGCGAAGGCGACUCACUGGGACACGUAUUGACGCUG
rnacentral:rRNA from 1 species